rnacentral:lncRNA from 1 species
CUGUUCACCCUUUGAUGCCAAUUGCACAAUUUGCUUCUGGGUCAGUGAUUUUCCUAGGGAAUAAUUUUCGAUGAGAAUUUGUUUGCCCAAAUUAAGGGAAAGGGUGUUCUUAGAAUUAGCGAGAUGGUAGUAUUUUUCAGUGGUUUUCCACCACUGUGCUACUGAAGGAUUGGUUUUAGAUGGAGUCGAAGAAGAAAGAGAGGUGAUGAAAUCAGAUACAAUAGCUCUUUGAGACGGCUUGAAUUUACCAUACCAGAUCAGAUUAACAGAGAUUUUGCCAGAAAGAAGUGCACCCUUGUGGUAAUUCAAGAGCUGCAUUUGUGGGUCUUGUACUAAAGCAGUGAGCUUUCUUGAAGCAAAGCACACAUUAAAGAAGGAAAUAACAAGAAAGAUUUUCAAAAUGAAAUGGGUCGAAUUGGAACUGAAAGAAGACAUAUUUUGUUCCUUUUGUAUUUCUUUGUAAAUAGAAGCUCUAAGUUUUGAUGGAAAUUUGAGUGUGUGAGUAGUUUGGAUGUUGGAGAAGAGAGGCGGAUUAUAUAUAGCGCAAUUGAAAGAGUGCAUUUUGCUUGUUACGAAGGUGCGAAGAAGUAGAAAAGUUGACUUUAAUAUAAAACGCGUUUGGCAUUAAGUGUUAGUAGCUGUGUAAAAUAAGGAAGAGAAGAACUUUACUGCCAACUAAUAGCGGUUUCUAUUUCCACGGCCCUACUAUGGGUAUCGCUCACUGCUAUAAUUGACUUCAUUAGUGUUGCUGCACCACCACUUUCGUGAUAGUCAAAAUAUUGAAAGAAAUGUGCAAAACAUGGCAAUGUAAAUAUACUAACCCACAUCCCCACAACUACUUCAUCCAUUUCCAAUUUUAGGUAAUACAUUUUUUUUUCAUUGUUAGUUUAUUUGAGGAAAAGAUAUUUUAAGUUUUAGAUCAAUUUUGGUAACUAUUAUUCCUUAAUAGGAAUGGAGAGGGUAUGUCCAAAAUAUGUUUUAAAAAGUAAAGGGAAUCAAUCCGCACCUUCGAAGUACACAAUUUAUCAAAAUGGUGGUGAAUUCGAUCUUUAUGGAUAAGCUUCAUACAUGCCGCGUCUUAGACAUGUUGUAGAUUGCCUAUUUCUCAUACUGCCCUGUCUAGUUAAUACUCCCUUGCCCACUCCUCAAUCCUCAUACCUGCCUUGUGAGUGAAGUUAUUAAUACAUACUAGGUUAGUACUAAAGUCACCAUUAUAUUCACGCACUCACCAGAAAAGAGAUAUAUUGCAAAACAUGCUUCGUCUUCUUUUUUUUUAAGAUUUUUUUUUUUUUUGAUGAUAGUGGAGUUCCUUUGAUGAACACUAGCGUGAGAAGCAUUUUCACGACCCCUUCUUUACCACUGAGCUUUCAAUCGGUUUUGUUAAAUGUUCACAAAUUAGUGUACAUACAUAUUUAUUUAAUUUUCUAACAGUGGCGGCUCAACGCAAUCGGAAGCCUAAAGCGAAAUUUCAACUAGAGGCCUAAAAUCUAAAUAAACUUUAUAUGCAUUAUUUUUUUAAAAAAAAAGUUCUUACAUUUUUAGAUGCAAAGUAUAUAUACUCAAUAUUUUUUUUAUAAAUGAUUUAUUCGAUUUCUUUUUCAAUUAUUAGCUUCAGACAAGAUUUUAUCAAUUCAAUGCUGAAAACAUAUUUUUACUCAUGCAAUUAUUAUAUCAAUUGCUAACAUACUUCUAUAAGUAAUAAGUUGGCAAAUUUCAAGAUAAGAGUUAGAACCAUAGAAUUUGAUUCAAGAAGUUGAUAAUUUGUAUACUCCACAUUUUACUAUGUUUGUUGUAAUACUUGAAAAUCUAAGAAAAAAUAGAACAAGAAUUUACAAUUCGCUUUGUUCAACACUUUUUUACUAUUGAUUCAUAUUUUUAACAGAGUACUACUCUAACUUAUCAAAAAUUUAAAGAAGAGAGUGUAAUAGGAGUUAAAAGAAUAAAAUAACGUGAAUAUUAGUGUAGAGAGUGUAAGAAAAUAAAAUAUUUUUUCUUAAUUUCUUCUAUUUAAAUGGGAUUAAAGAGAAUAAAAUAGUAUUUGUAAUAUAUAUAUAUAUAUAUAUAUAUAUUAUAAAUAAUUAUUUUUUUCUAUAAAAAAACAAACACAUAAUUUAUUCUUAGUAAAAAUUUAAGUCCCCUAAAAUUGGGGAACCUAAGGCAAAUGCCUUAUUCAAAUAAGCAUAGAGCCGGCCCUGUUUUCUAAUACAAAUAUAUAGUCUACGAGAAAGCUAUUGGGUUCGUCCUCUCCUAGUUAUGUCUCUGCCACCACUUAAAUUAUAAUAUGUGCCUCUACUCGAAGCGUCGUGUCCAUUAUAAUUACUAACGCGUUAUGGACUAGCUGUCACUUUGCAGUUUACACAGCUUCACUCCAAGUUUUUAGGCAUUUGUACAUUAUUUCAGUUCAACUUGGAAAAGAAUAAAAUUUUAAAUUACGGUCAUACAAAAUAAUAUGUACAGGUUUAAAUUUGUGAAAAUAACCCGAAAUGCACCUUCAAAUCAUAUUAUAUUUCAAUUGAAACUCAUUUCAGUGUAUAUUUUCAUAUGGUGUCGUAUUUCUUUUUGUUUACCCAUUAUACUUGUAAUUUCAAAAAACAAAUUAUAUCCUAUAACACCUAGCGGGGGAAUAAGUGAAAAAUCCUUGAAAACAAUUUCCUUGUAUAUUCCAAUUCCAAUUCCAAUUAAAUAUAUUGGCAGCUCCUUCAAUUAUACAUUAUUAUUAGCAUUUAGUAAAAAAUGAAAACAGAGCCUACUAAAUAAUUGGCUUCUCCAUGUUUAUGCUUAAUAGACUUUCUUCCAAGUCUUAUACAGUAUAUAAAAUGUAAAGCUAAUAAUUUUCUUAGGUGCGCAACUAAUAAGCCUUGGCCUAAUUGAACAUCUCUAAUUAAUUAAGCUGAAUUCCCAAAAUAUUGUUGAUUUGCAUUACCUGUCUUUGUUUGUAAACUAAAUCAAUUGAGUAAGGAAAACAAAAUUAGAAGGUAAUAUAGACAUAGCAAAAUAAUUUUAUCGUAUAUUAUCAUAAUCUGAAACAAAUGAAUGAAUCAACAAAUUGUAUCUUACAAAUCUAUGCUCAACUAUAUUAUAAAUAUCCUAUUAUGUAAAUUCUGUUUGUCUCUCUAGACCAAAGUGGAGCAUGAAGAUGUAGCAGGAUCAUAUAGAGCAGGAACCAAAUAUUUCCUUCCGUUUGUACCAUGUGCAUUGUAGCUUGCACCUGUUGUUUUAUCCACCAAUAAAUCUCCAGCGUAGCCUGGGUAAGCGCCCUUAGCGUAGACACCAGGGCAAGCAGAUGCAGCUUCCAACGGCGCAUCUUCUUCACCCUGGUAAUAACCGUUUCCAAAUGGGUUUGUGGCGGUUCCAGCUAAUAAGCUAGCUAAGUUGAUCACCAUACCGUCAACACCCACAUCGUUGUUUGGUGCACCCAAUGGUGGGCUUUGUGGUCCGUAGAUGGGCUGGUGGAAUGGCCAGGCGCAGUAACCAGGACACAGAGUCUCUGAGUUACCGACCCAGAUAUAAGCAAAUUUGUAAGUUUUGCCCUUAAUAACUGCACCCUUAGAAGACCCAUGAGUUCCACACCGAUUGACACAGAACCCAUCAACAGCAACAUCAGAGGCAGUCAAUACAACGUUAAUGGCGUCUCUCUGUUCACCCUUUGAUGCCAAUUGCACGAUUUGUUUCUGGGUCAGUGAUUUUCCAAGGGAAUAAUUUUCGAUGAGAACUUGUUUCCCCAAAGAGAGGGUAAGUGUGUUCUUAGAAUUGGCGAGAUGGUAGUAUUUUUCAGUGGUUUUCCACCAUUGUGCUACUGAAGGAUUGGUUUUAGAUGGAGUUGAAGAAGAAAGAGAGGUGAUGAAAUCAGAUACAAUAGCUCUUUGAGAUGGUUUGAAUUUACCAUACCAAAUCAGAUUAACAGAGAUUUUGCCUGAUAGAAGUGCACCUUUGUGGUACUCCAAGAGCUGCAUUUGUGGGUCUUGGACUAAAGCGCUGAGCUUUCUU